GAUGAAGAACGUAGUGAAAUGCGAUACGUAAUGUGAAUUGCAGAAUUCAGUGAAUCAUCGAGUCUUUGAACGCACAUUGCGCCCCCUGGUAUUCCGGGGGGCAUGCCUGUCCGAGCGUCAUUGCUGCCCUCAAGCACGGCUUGUGUGUUGGGCCUCCGUCCUCCUCCCGGGGGACGGGCCCGAAAGGCAGCGGCGGCACCGCGUCCGGUCCUCGAGCGUAUGGGGCUUCGUCACCCGCUCUUGUAGGCCCGGCCGGAGCUUGCCGACACAUCAAUCUUUUUUCCAGGUUGACCUCGGAUCAGGUAGGGAUACCCGCUGAACUUAAGCAUAUCAAUAAGCGGUGGA
rnacentral:misc_RNA from 1 species